UCUUAUUACUCUUUUUAAUGCAAUCCAGUCUAUGCUUCUGGGUUUAGCAACUCUCCUGCUAAGAUAACCAACUGCAUAGCUGAUAUCGGGCCUGGUGUGAUUGGCAAUAUACAUUAAACUUCCAAUAAUUGAAUGAUAUAAAUCAGGCCUUUCAAAUAACUUCUGUGACUCUUGGUUCGCAUAAUCCACAACCAUGGGUGUAGACACGAUCUUUGCAUCAGUGAGUCCACAUUUUCCAAUCAGUUGUUCUAUCUUUGAUUUCUGACUUAGAAUUAUUUUUCUAUUAUUAGAUCUGUUCACUUCAAGGCCCACAUAAUUUUUUAGACUACCUAAAUCCUUUAUUUUAAAUUUUUAUUCCAGUUCUUUCUGUAUUUGGGCAACUCUAUCUGAGCCUUUCGUUACUACACAGACGUCAUCUACAUAAAUCAAAAGACCAGUCCAAUCAUCACCCACACCCCUGGUAUACACACAAGCAUCAGCAAUACUUCUAUUAAAACCAAGGCGACAUAGUUCUUCAUGCACACAAAGAUUCCAGCAACGCACUGACUGACGCAGCCCAUAAAUAGAUUUACGAAGAAGAUAAACUUCAUUCUUGUUUCCAGAUUCAAAACCUGGCGCUUGCUCCAUAUAAAUUUUUUCUACUAAAUUUGCAUUCAAAUAAGCAGUUUCAAAAUCAAAGUGUCUAAGGAUCAAAUUUCUUUUUGCUGCCAAAGUCAACAUUAAUCUCAGGCUUUCAGGCCUUGCAGUGGGUGCAAAAGUUUUGUCAUAAUUUUCAAAUUUUACUUGUGUAAAGCCUUUUGCAACUAAUCUGGCUUUGUAUUUCUGACUACCAUCAGAAAGUGGUUGGUUGUAGAUGGGUCUAUAAAAAGAAAACACUUCCUGACUGUCAGGACCCUGGCUGCAGAGCACCAAUAACCUUACACAGAGGCCAGUCUCUAUCUAAUAUCUUUAUUAAAGAAAUAUAUAAAAUCAAUAAAAACAAGUGAAGAAUAUAGUUCAAAAGCAGACCUUUCAGAUAAGGUCAAAUAUAGUCCAGAAAUGUAUUGUCCAAUAUAAGAUAUUAGAGUUCAAAGUUUUAAUCCACUUGACCGAAACACACACUUUGCCAAGCAAUAGUGUGGGGAAAUAACAGAGUCUUUAAAGUCCAAUGAAGCUUGACAACAAGGCUGGAAAUAAACUUGAUUCUUGACUAGAUCCGUGACUGGAGGCAAGACGAACAUGAAGCAUGAAACAGAGUCCGUGGUAAAACCGUGAGACAAGGCAAGGCUUGAAGCUUGAUCCGGGAAGCAAGGAACUGGGAUUACGAAGUCCACACACGAUCUCUCUCCUCAAGCUGAUCAAUUGACUCCGCAAAGAAUCCCUCGCGCCAAACACCUAUAUUGGGUCUCGUUUUCCCGCCAACAUAACUCUUUCCCUAGAGAACGAGAAGCGAAACCCAACUCUGU
rnacentral:lncRNA from 1 species